rnacentral:tRNA from 14 species
GCCGCUUUAGCUCAGCCGGUAGAGCACAUCAUUCGUAAUGAUGGGGUCGCGUGUUCGAGUCACGCAAGCGGCACCA